GUGAAGAGCCCGACUGUGUGUGUCGUAUUCUGGGUAUAAAGGUGUCCAGAGGGCAAGGCAGUUGGAGAUAUAAUACAGUGACAACAUGCCAGUUGCUAAGCUGAACCCAGCCUGACAACAGGUCCCUCUGGAGAAAACCCUGUCAUUCCUAACAUUGAACAUCUCCGGGGCAACGAGCUUGAUGUAAUGGAGGAUUCUGUCCACCUCGGAAAAGAAAUAAUACCAAUGUCAAGUGCUGUCAACAAGCUACAAAUCAGUCAGGGCAACAAAGCUAUAUAGCACAAGCAGUGAGAAGGGAGAGAAGAGGAUGACAUAGAAAACAGACCAGAUGGUUACUAUGAAUUAA